rnacentral:misc_RNA from 1 species
GUGAAUCAUCGAAUUUUUGAACGCAAAUUGCACUCUCCUCGGAGAGUAUGCCUGUUUGAGGGUCAGCCUAUAAAAAAUCGACAUAGUCGCUGUUUCGCGGUGACAUUCGUCGGAAAUUGGGUCAUCUUAAAUCUUUGGGUUUUAAGCGGCUUAAAAUUUUCUUUACGAUUCUAUGAACGUUUCUAAGAUUUAUUUACUCGUUUAAGUUAUCGAUUUUUAUUAGAUGUAGCUGUUGAAUCU